GAUGAACGCUGGCGGCGUGCCUAAUACAUGCAAGUCGAGCGAACAGACGAGGAGCUUGCUCCUCUGACGUUAGCGGCGGACGGGUGAGUAACACGUGGAUAACCUACCUAUAAGACUGGGAUAACUUCGGGAAACCGGAGCUAAUACCGGAUAAUAUAUUGAACCGCAUGGUUCAAUAGUGAAAGACGGUUUUGCUGUCACUUAUAGAUGGAUCCGUGCCGCAUUAGCUAGUUGGUAAGGUAACGGCUUACCAAGGCAACGAUGCGUAGCCGACCUGAGAGGGUGAUCGGCCACACUGGAACUGAGACACGGUCCAGACUCCUACGGGAGGCAGCAGUAGGGAAUCUUCCGCAAUGGGCGAAAGCCUGACGGAGCAACGCCGCGUGAGUGAUGAAGGUCCUCGGAUCGUAAAACUCUGUUAUUAGGGAAGAACAAAUGUGUAAGUAACUAUGCACGUCUUGACGGUACCUAAUCAGAAAGCCACGGCUAACUACGUG
rnacentral:rRNA from 1 species